GUAGAGAGUUUGAUCMUGGCUCAGAUUGAACGCUGGCGGAAUGCUUUACACAUGCAAGUCGAACGGCAGCACGGACUUCGGUCUGGUGGCGAGUGGCGAACGGGUGAGUAACAUAUCGGAACGUAUCCAAUAAUGGGGGAUAACUAAUCGAAAGGUUGGCUAAUACCGCAUACGCCCUACGGGGGAAAGCUAGGGACCUUCGGGCCUGGCGUUAAUGGAGCGGCCGAUAUCUGAUUAGCUAGUUGGUGGGGUAAAGGCCCACCAAGGCGACGAUCAGUAGCUGGUCUGAGAGGACGACCAGCCACACUGGAACUGAGACACGGUCCAGACUCCUACGGGAGGCAGCAGUGGGGAAUUUUGGACAAUGGGCGCAAGCCUGAUCCAGCCAUUCCGCGUGAGUGAAGAAGGCCUUCGGGUUGUAAAGCUCUUUCGCAAGGGAAGAAAACUUAUCCUCUAACAUAGGAUGAGGUUGACGGUACCUUGAUAAGAAGCACCGGCUAACUACGUGCCAGCAGCCGCGGUAAUA
rnacentral:rRNA from 1 species